GACGAACGCUGGCGGCGUGCUUAACACAUGCAAGUCGAACGGAAAGGCCUGCUUUCCCUUGUGGAUUGCGGGUACUCGAGUGGCGAACGGGUGAGUAACACGUGAGUGAUCUGCCCCCAACUUGGGUAUAAGCCUGGGAAACUGGGUCUAAUUCCCGAUAGGACUGCAGGGUGGUGCCUGUGGUGGAAAACGAUUUUCUAGUGGUUGGGGAUGAGCUCGCGGCCUAUCAGCUUGUUGGUGGGGUAAUGGCCUACCAAGGCGGCGACGGGUAGCCGGCCUGAGAGGGUGGACGGCCACAUUGGGACUGAGAUACGGCCCAGACUCCUACGGGAGGCAGCAGUGGGGAAUAUUGCACAAUGGGCGGAAGCCUGAUGCAGCGACGCCGCGUGGGAGAUGACGGCCUUCGGGUUGUAAACUCCUUUCGACCGCGAGGAAGCCACCUGGUUGGAAGGGUGGUGACGGUAGUGGUAGAAGAAGCACCGGCUAACUACGU
rnacentral:rRNA from 1 species